AACUUUUUAAACCCCGCGGUUCCAUCGUACAGUUUGAGAUGUAUAUUAGUACCACCACUGAAAAACUCGUACAGGGUAUGCCCGGCUUAGCGGUUGGGGACUGGCGGGGAGAGACAAGCUUUGCGUGUUUUUUUUUUUGUUUUGUUUUUAUAUUGGCGAGGCGGCCGCCAAACUUAGCGCUGCGGGAAACCCUGACUUCAGAAAAAAAAAGCCCACAUACCUCACACAAGCGAGAGUUUGUUGUAGGUCUCCAAGUUUUGUUCGUCUCUUGGUCCAAGCCACUGACUCGUUGAUCCACAAUAAACGCCGCUCUUCAUCGCUUGGAAAACGGAACAUCCGCGUCCCUUUAUCAGUGCUGUUGCUGCAGCCGUGGGCACAACACCCUGGCAUGGUGGCUUAUUUUCGAAAUAAAGAAAUACUCGAAAUAAUCAGAAAAAAUAAAAUAAAAAUAAAAGAAAUCGGUCGCUCGCAGUGUUGUAAACGCGCUGAGCUUAGCUGAGCCUAGACCCAAAAUGGCCGCAUGAGAUCACGUGACCCGAAAAAAAUGGAACGCCCAUGACGCAACUUUCAUUUAAGGGACUUUAAUAUGAUCCAGGGA